GGAGCAGGACAGAUGGCCGCUCCUCUGCAUGGGCAGAGGGGAGGAAAGUCCGGGCUCCACAGGGCAGGGUGCUGGGUAACGCCCAGGCCUGGUGACAGGCGGAAAGUGCCACAGAAAGGAGACCGCCAGAUAUCUUUACGAGAUAUCUGGUAAGGGUGAAAGGGUGAGGUAAGAGCUCACCAGUCCCAUUGGUGACAAUGGGAGCUUGGUAAACCCCACCCGGAGCAAGACCAAAUAGGGGAGCGUCAGAGGGUGGCCCGCCCGAGCUCCUGGGUAGGUCGCUUGAGCCUGAUGGUAACAUCAGGCCCAGAUGAAUGGCCAUCGCCCCGAGUUCUUUGGGGAACAGAACCCGGCUUAUGGACUGCUCCAGUA
rnacentral:RNase_P_RNA from 1 species